AACGGACGCUGGCGGCAUGCCUAACACAUGCAAGUCGAACGAGACCUUCGGGUCUAGUGGCGCACGGGUGCGUAACGCGUGGGGACCUGCCCUUAGGUUCGGAAUAACUCCCCGAAAGGGGUGCUAAUACCGGAUAAUGUCUUCGGACCAAAGAUUUAUCGCCUUUGGAUGGGCCCGCGUUGGAUUAGCUAGUUGGUAGGGUAAAAGCCUACCAAGGCGACGAUCCAUAGCUGGUCUGAGAGGAUGAUCAGCCACACUGGGACUGAGACACGGCCCAGACUCCUACGGGAGGCAGCAGUGGGGAAUAUUGGACAAUGGGCGAAAGCCUGAUCCAGCAAUGCCGCGUGAGUGAUGAAGGCCUUAGGGUUGUAAAGCUCUUUUACCCGGGAUGAUAAUGACAGUACCGGGAGAAUAAGCUCCGGCUAACUCCGUG
rnacentral:rRNA from 1 species